rnacentral:lncRNA from 1 species
ACCUUAAGUCUAUAUAUCAAUGAUUUGAGAUGUGGAAGAACUCAUCAUCUAAGUGACCAACUUAAUUCAAAACAUCAGAUGAAAAUAAAAAAUAAAAAAUAAAAAAUAAUAUGAUUAAAAUGAUUUAAUAAUGAUUAAAUAAAGAAAAUAAAAGAGAAAAUGUCAAAGAGGGGUCAAAACACAAAAUUAAAAUUCAAGAA